AGCGAACGCUGGCGGCAGGCUUAACACAUGCAAGUCGAGCGCCGUAGCAAUACGGAGCGGCAGACGGGGGAGUAACACGUGGGAACGUACCCCUUGGUUCGGAAUAACUCAGGGAAACUUGAGCUAAUACCGGAUACGUCGGCAACGAGAAAGAUUUAUCGCCGAGGGAUCGGCCCGCGUCCGAUUAGCUAGUUGGUGUGGUAAUGGCGCACCAAGGCGACGAUCGGUAGCUGGUCUGAGAGGAUGAUCAGCCUCACUGGGACUGAGACACGGCCCAGACUCCUACGGGAGGCAGCAGUGGGGAAUAUUGGACAAUGGGCGCAAGCCUGAUCCAGCCAUGCCGCGUGGGUGAUGAAGGCCUUAGGGUUGUAAAGCCCUUUCGGCGGGGAAGAUAAUGACGGUACCCGCAGAAGAAGCCCCGGCUAACUUCGUGCCAGCCGCCGCCGUAAAAC
rnacentral:rRNA from 1 species